GACGGAGGGUGCAAACGUUGUUCGGAAUUACUGGGCGUAAAGCGCGUGUAGGCGGCUAUGCAAGUCGGGCGUGAAAUCCCACGGCUCAACCGUGGAAGUGCACUCGAAACUGCGUAGCUAGAGUCCCGGAGAGGAAGGUGGAAUACUUGGUGUAGAGGUGAAAUUCGUAGAUAUCAAGUGGAACACCGGUGGCGAAGGCGGCCUUCUGGACGGUGACUGACGCUGAGACGCGAAAGCGUGGGGAGCAAACAGG
rnacentral:rRNA from 1 species